rnacentral:rRNA from 1 species
UACGUAGGGUGCGAGCGUUAAUCGGAAUUAUUGGGCGUAAAGGGCGCGUAGGCGGCUGGACAAGUCAAAGGUGAAAUCCCUCGGCUCAACUGAGGAACUGCCUUUGAAACUGUACGGCUUGAGGCCGGGAGGGGGUAGCGGAAUUCCCAGUGUAGCGGUGAAAUGCGUAGAUAUUGGGAGGAACACCAGUGGCGAAGGCGGCUACCUGGACCGGUUCUGACGCUGAGGCGCGAAAGCGUGGGUAGCAAACAGG